rnacentral:rRNA from 1 species
ACACUGACGUCGCGACGCAUAUCAAUAAGCGGAGGAAAAGAAACUAACUAGGAUUCCCUUAGUAACGGUGAGUGAAGCGGGAAGAGCUCAAAUUUGAAAUCUUCAAGGUUCUACCUUGACGAAUUGUAGUUUAAAGAAGUGUUUUCUGUUGGAGUUUUGGUAAAAGUUCUUUGGAAUAGGACAUCAUAGAGGGUGAGAAUCCCGUAUUUGACCAGUUACUUUCCAGCUGUGUGAUACACCUUCAAAGAGUCGGAUUGUUUGGGAAUGCAGUCCAAAAUGGGUGGUAAAUUUCAUCUAAAGCUAAAUAUUGGCGAGAGACCGAUAGCGAACAAGUACCGUGAGGGAAAGAUGAAAAGAACUUUGAAAAGAGAGUUAAACAGUACGUGAAAUUGUCAAAAGGGAAGCGUUUGACACCAGUGUUGUUUUUCCGAAAAUCAAUUACGAAUGUUUUAUUUUUGAGGAGUUAUGACUUCAUCGGCUUGCUCCUUUCUUUAUGAAACUUUCUUAAUGCACUUUUCGGUUAACAAGUCAACAUCAAUUUCUUUUGUUGUAAAAGGGUAUGAGGAGGGUGGCUUUCUUUUCGGAGAAAGUGUUUAUAGCCUUGUGCCUCUGCAAUCGGAGAGAUUGAGGUCUGCAGCGUAGAUCCUUCGGGGUUAGAUACGUUUGUGCUAAGUUAUAGCUUUUCAUAGACAACUUGUUGACUAUGUUUAGUCUUGUAGCUUACUCGCUGACGCUAUUUUACCUACGCUUAGGAUGUUGACGCGCGUGUGUGCGUG